rnacentral:lncRNA from 1 species
AGCGUGUGACAGGGGAAGGGUUGAACAAGAUGCAAUGUUCUAGAGGAAGAAGAGGACAAAAUUGAAUUUGGGGGAAGGUGCUGCCGGCAGUGAACUGUGGAAGGGAAGAGGCAGCCCAGGCUGGAGUGUGUGGCUGGUGGGAUGGAGAGGGGCUGCCGUGGGCUGCUUGCAGGAGGUUUCGAACAAGAGCAGAAAGAAGAGAGGCAGAGGAACAGCACACAGGAAACCAGCAAAGGGUUUCCGACUCCUGAUGCUGUCACACUAAGAACCACCAAGAGGAUUGUGGCACCUUGGAGGCCAAUAAAUGGAUGCUGGCACCAUCCGCUGUCAAGGGUUCAAGCAGGCAAGGACAACCUCAGAUGCAAGAAGCAAACUUUCAGCUGGCAGGAAUGUGCAGGAGACGACUUCCGGGGUGGCGCCAUCGGCAAUGGCGGACUCCCUCUGAUCUGGAGGGACUAGCUCCACGCGAAACGGGUCUUUUCCGUUACGGCGAAGCGGGGACCCCUUCAAAAAUCACAGGCGGAUGAAGCCUGUGACCAUGGGACUCGGCGGGCACCCUUAGCGCCCCCCCCAACCCGCAAAGGAACCCACUAACGGGCUCCGAAGCGAAGAGGGGGAAGUGGCGCGGUGCUGAGAGUCAACUGCUUCUUCCGUGGAGCGAAGCCGCAUAGCCGUUGUCGGAGAGCGCUGCCUUUUUCCUGGGACAAUUUGGCUUCUAAAAUAAUCACCCGUGAGUACUUAAAUUUUGGACAAUUGGACUUUAAAUAAGGACUUGCGAGCAGAAAAGAAUUGGACUUAAAAAUUUACUUCAAUUUGGCACUGAAACGGGAAGGUCUAAACAGGAAGUCAGCCUUCCGUUUCUUUGUAGACAGAUUAAAGCAAAGACAAGGUAAACUAGAGCUCAGAAAAUCGCUCCUAAAAGAUUAACUUUCAUCAUUUAAAAUUGUUGAACCCCCUUUGGAAGCAGGAGAAGAAGGGGGAUCUUUUUUGGACUGUUUAAACCUGCAGAAGUGAGUUUAAAGUAAAGUAACUUUCCACCGUCUUGAUCCUGGAGCGGGGUGUCAGGACUGACGUCUUUUUGAAGCUCAUUGACCAGAGACAAACGUUUUUGACAGUUAGCUAAAAGAAGAGGAACAUAGUGAUUCCACUGUUCCCUUUCGCACUUUAAAGGAACAAAUAUUGACAAGAUAUCUGAAAAAGGAAACUUUGUUGCUAGAUUUGUCUUUAAAAGAAAGAACUAAUAGAAGUUUUCCCCCUAGAGGGAGACUGUGAAACUGUAACCAAUUCCAGGGAGCUUGCAGCUGUUACAGAUUACAAUCGUGGGAAUAGACUUUGACCUUGAAGGACAAUGUAUUCAGAAGCUCUGUUGUGUGCUCUCUGUAAAACAAAUGCCCUACUGGAACAAUUAAAUGAGAAUACGGAUUUGAUGACUGAUGCGAUCAGAAUUUUUGAACAGGCAGUGGGAAACUAUAUGGAGCCCACCCAGUAAUUAAACCAGGAGUGUGCCCUGACAGAACAGAUGAGAGAAGAGGAUGUUGCUGAAUCUUGGGCGCCAGAGAUGGAGGGAGCUGUGGCCCUGCAGGAACAUGAGCUUUUGGAUUUGACAAAUGAACUUGGAAAAAGCCAGAUUUGGAAAGACAAAGUUUGGUUUGGUGUGGAAAUGGGGGGUUGGAUAGACCCCCCUAUGCAGGGAUGUUUGGACUUUUCAAGUCUGGCAAUGGGCCGUGAGGUGUUUGGGGCUGUGGGGGCUCUUAAUUUUGGAGGGAUUCUGAAACAUGUUUUUAAAUACCACAUGGAGUUUAGUCUGGACUAUGGAAAAGGGGCUGAUUGGUUGAAAAGGGUCAAAAACAUUGCCAAGCUGGAGUUCCCACGAGUGAAAGGAGAAUAUGAAGAAGAGCCGCGGAAGGGACAUGGAAGGGACUUAAGGGCCUCGGAUAUAAGGUUACCAGGUUAAUGCGCUAGAUUAAUGGGAUAAAAAGGACUGACAAAACCUGUGACCAGGAGGAAGGGACGCUGGAUGAAGAUUGGAUUGUUUUUAUUGCUUUUUUUUUAUUACUAGGAUUGUUUUAUAAAAUUGAUGAAUGUUAGGAAAAUGUUGGAACGAAAUUACUUGGCUUUAGCAAAAAUGUUUAAAGAAUUGGGUAAGAAUAUUAUGGUUAUGAGAAGUUGGUAAAAAUAAGAUUUAAGUUUUAAGCUUUAAGGUUCUUUAUAAGAUAAGAUGAAAACAGAUUAAGGUAAUGUAAUGACAGAAUAUUAUGAAAUAUGGAAAGGAUUUGCUGCGACAAUUAACAACUAGGAUACAAAAAAAGGGAGGAGGAGGAGGUCAAAGAAAGAAGGUAAUGAAAGUUGAGGAUUUGAGAAUGAUGGAUUUGUUUUUGUGUGUUUGCUGUGUAUUUUUGUUUUUUGAAUAUGUAUUGUUUGAUGUGGUUUGUUUUUUUCUCUUUGUUUUUUUUUCUUCUUCUUUUUCUGCUUUGUUCUUUUUUGUAAUUCUAAAAAAUUCUCAAUAAAUAUCAUUUCAUU